AACGGGAAGCUACGGUGGCAGUGUUCCAGAUCAAUUACGAGGCUAAAACAUGUGCCGUCAUGUUAUUGAUCUAGAACACUAUGCAUCCCAGUAGUGUAGGUAAGUUUUUCUCCAAUAGUGGAUACAUUUGAAAUGGGAAAUACAUAUAUAACACAAUUUUGAAAAGGAGGGUUAAAUGAAAUAUGGACAUGGACAGGACGCAUUAUAUGGUCUCUUUCUUGGUAUUCAUGCUUUUCUUGACCUGCUCAGCAUUUUCUUUGACGAACUCCUUGGAUUCUUCGGCCUUGAAAAAGCCAAUAAUUAUGGCCUUGAAAAAAAAAAACCAAUAAUUAUGGCUUUGAAAAAGCCACAAAACAAGGAAACAUAAUCAUGAUGUCUUCUCAUCAUAAUGUUCCCUCAUCAUUUUGUCUUUCAUUCUUUUGUUUUGUUUAAUAGCGAUGCCAAGUUGGCCAGGCCACUAAUUUGGCCACUAUCCAACAUGGCCACUAUCCAACAGUACACUCACUUGUUUAAGACCUAUGAGACUUGAUAAGAAAGCAUACACACAAUUUAGUUAAUCAUCCUAGCAUUUGAGCUAGAAAUACAACUGCCAGAUCACAAUUUACACACUAACAGAUAAUUCGUUUAUGUUUUGGUUUGAAUUUUCCUGGUUGAGUUAGGAUUUCCCCUUUGUUGCUUUGGCUGCUACUUGCACUCUCUGCGUUUGGUUUUUCAGGUUAGGGUUUGAUUUUUGGCAGAGUUCUGAUCGCUUUCUGGUAUAUAAUUUUUGUGUUCGAAAUCCUCAGGUUGAUUCGAGUGCUGCUAAGCAUAUUCCUGCUGUGUCUCCCUUCAAACUUAACUUGGUAUUUACUACAAUGGAGCAGCUUCAGAUAGACUAGGAUCAGGUGACAUUUGAUCUUCCUUGUUGAUUUAGGAUUUCCCUUUCCCCUUUAUGUUUGUUAAUUAGAAUUUCGAAUUCCUAGUUUCCUGCAAUACCUCAUAGAUAACCCGUUUAGUGUUUGGUUAGAAUUUCCCUGCAAAGAAAGGUCAAGGUAGGUGAAGCUUGAACUUGCUGCUCCUGCAGAACAUGUUUCCUUCUGUGGGAGAGAAUGAGAUAUACUGGCUGAUGAUAAAUAUCACACUUUACAAAGAAAUUGGAAUUGAUCAUACUUUACUUCGGCAUCCUUUGAUGCAUUUUGGCUUGACAUCCUUUGCUCCUUGUGCUUAAUCGUUUCUAUAAGGCACGCAUUUGCAAAAAUUCGAUUGCUUUCAGUUCUAGUGAAUGGUUACAGCAACCUGUAAUGCCUUCUCAGCUUGAGCUUGUGCCAAGGGUUUCUUAUAAUAUUCUGCUGUGGCCGCUCAUGAAUCUAAAUUAUUCAGAAAUUGAGGUGAAAAAAACUCAAAACAAUUAACAGCUUUUGAACUAUUUGUACGGAUAAUGGGGAAGGAUUUAUUGACACUUGAAUUUCCUUUACAUUUGAUACAAGAGAGAAAGACCAAACACUUUCUUGCAGUGUAAGGAACAAUACCCCAAUUUAACAAAAACAAAAAACAAAACAAAAAAGGAACAAAUAUCUCAACAAUGGGAGGACUUAAGUGAAACUGGAAGCUACGGUGGCAGUGUUUCAGAUCAAUUACGAGGCUAAAACAUGUGCCGUCAUGUUAUUGAUCUAGAACACCGUGCAUCCCAGUAGUGUAGGUAAGUUUUUCUCCAAUAGUGGAUACAUUUGAAAUGGGAAAUACUUAUAUAACACAAUUUUGAAAAGGAGGGUUAAAUGAAAUAUGGACAUGGACGGGACGCAUUAUAUGGUCUCUUUCUUGGUAUUCAUGCUUUUCUUGACCUGCUCAGCAUUUUCUUUGACGAACUCCUUGGAUUCUUCGGCC
rnacentral:lncRNA from 1 species